CCUACGGGUGUCAGCAGUGGGGAAUAUUGGACAAUGGGGGCCACCCUGAUCCAGCCAUGCCGCGUGUGUGAAGAAGGCCCUCGGGUUGUAAAGCACUUUCAGUGAGGAAGAACGCCUGGUGGUUAAUACCCAUCAGGUAAGACAUCACUCACAGAAGAAGCACCGGCUAACUCCGUGCCAGCAGCCGCGGUAAUACGGAGGGUGCGAGCGUUAAUCGGAAUUACUGGGCGUAAAGCGCGCGUAGGUGGCUUGAUAAGCCGGUUGUGAAAGCCCCGGGCUCAACCUGGGAACGGCAUCCGGAACUGUCAAGCUAGAGUGCAGGAGAGGAAGGUAGAAUUCCCGGUGUAGCGGUGAAAUGCGUAGAGAUCGGGAGGAAUACCAGUGGCGAAGGCGGCCUUCUGGACUGACACUGACACUGAGGUGCGAAAGCGUGGGUAGCAAACAGGAUUAGAUACCCCAGUAGUC
rnacentral:rRNA from 1 species